GGCUGUGGAGGACUCCGAUUGAGGAGAAGAAAAAAGAGAGAGCAURCAAGAGCCAGGUGGGAGAGAAGAGYMGAUUGUUUUGCCAAGAUGAAGGCAGCUCACACGGCGCGGUGUUGUGGUCCCAGUCCUGCAGCAGGAAUGGCAAUCAUUGGAAAAACAAYGCAACAGCUUGAUAGCGGGGCAGAGAUGAACCUCUGCCCGCAUCUGUGAGUAUCGUUUUUUCCACUGACGUCUGCAGGAUUUAGUCUCGUUGGGAGGGCAGCAGAGAAGCUUGGUUGGCUUGGCGGACAACCCUUCUGGCCAGGGUCCGUUUGUGUUUGCAGGACCGUGAGGGAGCCCGUUGGCAAGUGAGAGAUGCAUGUUGUGGACCACGGUGGGGCUGCGGUGUGGUGGAACCAAGAGAGAGACUCAAAAUGAAAAAUAAGUACUAGAGGCAUCAGGACAAUAGAGAGACUGCUGGAAUGGACUGGUGGGUAUCAAACUGCUUAAGAGAUCUUUAACAGAGAAGCACAGAGGACCAUCCCACCUUGGACUUUGAGGACAUUUUAUGAGCAUUUUUUUUUUUACUGGGUUUUAGUUUUUUUAAUGAAACCUUUUUUAUGUACAUAUGAGGUUGAGAAAAGAUUUUUUUUUCUAACUGCCCCUGUGGGGAAGAAAAUUGUUUGAGCU